UACGAAGGGGGCUAGCGUUGCUCGGAAUCACUGGGCGUAAAGGGUGCGUAGGCGGGUCUUUAAGUCAGAGGUGAAAGCCUGGAGCUCAACUCCAGAACUGCCUUUGAUACUGAGGAUCUCGAGUUCGGGAGAGGUGAGUGGAACUGCGAGUGUAGAGGUGAAAUUCGUAGAUACUCGCAAGAACACCAGUGGCGAAGGCGGCUCACUGGCCCGAUACUGACGCUGAGGCACGAAAGCGUGGGGAGCAAACAGG
rnacentral:rRNA from 1 species